AUCUUUUGAUCGGAAGUUGCAAAGAAUGUCUGGAGACGUCCAUUUAAGAUGGAUUAAGAAAAAUGACAGUGAAGGGUACGCCAGGUAUUGCAUACCCUUCAUGCUAAUCCAAAAUCUUGGAAAACAAUCUUGCUGUAAGGACGCAAUGUAAGGUUACAUGCUUUUUGGGUCUGAUAUAUAGCAGAAAACUUUUUUAAAUGGAUUUUUCUAAUCGUCGGUCAUUUUUGGUGUUGAUAUUAAUGUUAAUUUAUUUAUUUAUUUUAUCUCUAGCUUACUAUACUUUGCUUGCGCUUCAUGUUAACACCUUAGUUCAUACUAUAAUGUACUUCUAUUAUGGAUUGGCAGCAAUUGGACCACACAUGAGAAAACAUCUUUGGUGGAAGCGUUACUUGACUCUUGCACAAAUAACUCAAUUCGUAUACAUCUUAUUGUACGCUUCUUACGGCUAUUUAACUGGAUGCGAAAAGUUUACAAAGAUCGACUGGGGCUUGUUUUAUUUCACAUUCGCUAUUUUAAUUCUGUUUCUCAAUUUCUACAUAAAAUCUUUCAGUGUGCAAAACUCUCACAAACAUAAAUAAUAGAUGUAUCAAUAAAAACAUUUGUAAAUA